UAUUCAAGAAACGCCCUUAGAGAUAUAAUAAAAUCCGUUCACGUAGGAGACAGACUAACAUGAACGAAAGCGUCGUGCGACGCGACCCCGCCUGAAGGAAGCUGACCACGAUCAUGCCGCAGCGAGUGGCGAGUCCGGGCGACGACAGUCAGCGAGAGCGUACAGUCGCUGCCACGGUAGUCGGUCGUCGCCUGGUUGGGCGUGUUCUGAACGCCACCAUCGUGAUGGGAGCGAUCGGGCGGCGUGUUAAGGCGAGGUCCGUCAGCAGCACGGGAUGGGCUUCGGUCGGGGUGUGCAACUUGCUGUCCACGUAAGUGCUCAGGCAGCGGUAGCUCGGCGAAGUGUUGUUGAUGUGGAGAGUGUGCGACAUCUGAAAGUGGUUGCUCCGUGGUUUGCUCAACAUCUUCGUGCAUCAAAGGUAUUCGGUUGUGUUUCGUUCAGCUUAUUGAACAGCUCGUCCACGGUACAGGGAUUCUACGGGCUUAUUCCAUGACUGGCACUAUGAGUGGUGCUGGCGGGCGGAAUGCCAACACAAACUUCAUUUUUUUAACAGUGUUUAGAAAUCGUUUUCCGAGUUUGUAAAUGUAAACUAUUUUUAGCAACUUCAAAGAGAUGUGGCCGCAACCUGAAUACUAAUAAACCAAAUUAAUACAAAUUGA